CUGAUUACUUUGGAGAGUUUUAGUUUGGUUUAAAUGGAUGUUGCAUUUAUUUAAGAUUAAUAAAAAAAAAAUUGUAACGUGAAAUAAAAAAUAAAUUAAACUCACCUCAUCAAACCUCCAAACCCAACUCAAAUUUCAAAUAUGGAAUGUAGCCAAAACCUGCUUCCAAACAAUAGAAGAAGAAACUAUGUGCAGCAUCCAAAAGUCCAACUGAGCUCAAACAAACUGAAAUACUUUGAAACCUAUCUGAAAUCAUGGCUUAUUAUAUGCGAAUGCACAUGGAUCAGUGUACAUGCACUGCAUCAUAGCAUUUUUUGAGGUGGGUAAAGAAUGACUCUAUAUCCCAGAAAUCAGGCAGUGGCAUCACAAUCAUGGCGUAGAAAGUUGACUCAUCUGUCCAUUCCUUUGAGAACUUGGGACUUGAGAUUUCUAUCUUUAAAAAAAGAAAUAGAAAUUUGAUGUUUCUAUUUCCAGAAAAGCCAAUUACUAGGACCACAAAGUGACAGAGAGCUGAUCUUUACUCAUGAGUGUUGCAGAUUUGCAGUGGAGAAUUGACCCUUAUCAAACUUUGUUGUUCACUUUGAUUGAGCUUCAAAACCUAUGAAUGUUAGGACACCUCUUUUUUUUGGUAAGUAAGAAUUGAGAUUGAAAAAAUGUUGUGAAAAGUGUCUGGUCUUGCAACCCUACAAAGAAAAAAAGUUAAUAGUAUUAGUACAACUUAAAAAAUAUAGGGACUGAAAGGUGCAUGGCUACCAGUUGACUCCAUGCUUGAAAAUUUAAUGAGAGAUGACAGAUCAUCAAAAGCUGGGUUGAGCAACUUGUAUGUUCUUCUGGUUUUGUUUAAUAAAGAGGGUACCGAAAUUGGGUACAGACUUAAUUUCUAAAAUACCUUUUUAUUCUCAAAAUCAAAGGGGUUUCUUAACAAAAAUGAAAACAACUUAGGAUUAUAUAGAACAUGUCACUAACAUCAUUAACAUUAAUCAUAUCCACUAAUGACCACAUAUCAAGUAUACUAUAAAUCAUGGAUCUAUCAUUCAGCUCUCAAACAUAGAAGAAGAAUGAACAAUUCUGAAUAUAGAUCAGAGAACACAUCAGUACAGAACAGUGCAGUAAAAACAUACAUGAAAUUGACACAAUCAUAGUACAAUGAGUACAUUAAAAGCAUAAAAAAUAUCCAGAGUAAAUGUGAGUUAAAUUGCUUAGACUUUUUCUUUUUGAUUCAUUUGUGUAUAACAUAUUUGAAUAUAGAUAUGGAUAUAUAUAGGUUUAUGAUCCUUCAAGCUUACUAAAAAUAUACACAAACACCUGUAUUUAACACUUUUAUCAAAGCCCAAGUAAAAGGAAUCUGGUCACUUAAACCCUAACAAACAUCCUUAUAUAAGAUCCUUCAAAUAAAUCUGCUAUAAAUGAAGCAUGUGUUGUAAAAGAACAGUAAAAGCUGAAUUUAUAUAAGGUUUU
rnacentral:lncRNA from 1 species